GAAGAAACCAUACUCCAUAUUAGCCUAUUAAUUGAAAUUAUCUUUUCCUCAGGGAAAAAAUACAUAGUGAUAUUUAUUACAAGUUACCAAUGUCUCAAUAUAAACAAUUCCCUAAUGCGAAAUGAUUCACAUGUCCUUCAAGGUCGAGUUCAGUGGACCUUGUAAUUGCAAGAAUCCCUGAACAGAUACUGCAGGAGUCCAAUAGUCUUUCCAUGUCAAACUUCGUGGAGCUUUUGCCAUGAGUGGAACCCAAGAAUGGGAACACAUAUACAAAGUAAAUGCUAACAAACCAUUAUAAUCCUCAGAUCUUGAUAGGAAUUUUGAUCCCUAACACAAGAUAACCCUUCCUAUCUGACAAAUUUUCCUUAUUUCCUUUUUCCUGUGCCAAUGGACAAGAGCUCAAAGCUCCUAAGUGCAUCAUCGCGACCGCCUCUUGUGGCAGUAGCACGACUAAAUGUAGACGAUUUGGACUCAAACCCAGGUUGCACUCUGUGGGUUGUGGACAAUCGACCACUGCUUGAGAGCAGCCGGCUUGACCGAUUCUCGCUAGGCUCACCAGAUGAACUUGGCCGGCUGCUUGAUACAACAGCCCUCUUUGAAGUACUGCCAUUUCGAGAUGAAGACCGGUGCCUAUCAGAAUCAGGAUGCUGGGGGUUUGGGGAAGGGGGAAAAGAAAAGAGCAUUAGUUGUGAAGCAAAAUCCAACCGUAGGCAUAAAAUGAAGCGCAAAGAUGUGCAUGAUACAUAGUGCACCACUCACCACAUCCUUAGGUGAUGGCACAUCAUCUGAAGACCUGUGUCGCAAGUGAUCCCCAUGCAAAGUAUGCCCAGAACCAUUUCUUCGAGCAAAUGCCUCUACUGCACCUGAGAAUCUUUCUCGGAUCUCUUGACCAACUAGAUGAAACAUAAAAAAUCACAUGACACUUGGGGCACUAGACUAACUUGUUAUCAUGUUCAAAUAAGAAUAUUACAACAAACUGUAAGAUUCAGAGUCCUCCAAAAGAAAGAGAGGAAAAAGGCACUAUGCAAUAGAAGCAUACUAAGGCAUCGCAAAACAAUACUGAGACCUCAUUAACGCCUCAUAUACAAGGAGAAUUCUUGUCAUUUAUCAAAAGUAUAUUUGCUCAAGAAUAAGCAUGCAUCAAAUUGCACUAAAAUAAUGGACCUGAAGGUCGUUCCACUCUUUCCGCUGAUGGACCUGGAUUUACAGCUGGUUUGCUGCUUGGCUAUUUAAGGUAGCAAAGAAAACAAUCAUUUACAAUAAUGCAAGCAUAGAUAUACUUAUCAAGAAAAUGGAAGGGUAGAUAUAUGUUUUUUCAGAAAAAUGACUACAUACAAACUAACUUACCCUUGCUCUAGAACUGGAGCCAAUCUGAGGAUACUUCAAUAUAGUCCAGUCAAAUACAUAGUCAAACUGAUACCCUUCUCGAAUAAAUAAGUCCCGGAAAAGCCUCUUCAGGUAUGAAUAAUCUGGUGUAUCUUCAAACCGCAAUGAUCGGCAAUAGUGGAAGUAUGAUGUGAAUUCUGAAGGAUAGUUUUUGCAAAGGAACUCUAUAGGGGUAAGCAUCUUCUUUUCACUGAUCUUGUCAUAU
rnacentral:misc_RNA from 1 species